rnacentral:rRNA from 1 species
AACGAACGCUGGCGGCAUGCCUAACACAUGCAAGUCGAACGAGACCUUCGGGUCUAGUGGCGCACGUGUGCGUAACGCGUGGGAACCUGCCCUUAGGUUCGGAAUAACUCCCCGAAAGGGGUGCUAAUACCGGAUAAUGUCUUCGGACCAAAGAUUUGUCGCCUUUGGAUGGGCCCGCGUUGGUUUAGCUAGUUGGUAGGGUAAAAGCCUACCAACGCGACGAUCCAUAGCUGGUCUGAGAGGAUGAUCAGCCACACUGGGACUGAGGCCCGGCCCAGACUCCUACGGGAGGCAGCAGUGGGGAAUAUUGGACAAUGGGCGAAAGCCUGAUCCAGCAAUGCCGCGUGAGUGAUGAAGGCCUUAGGGUUGUAAAGCUCUUUUACCCGAGAUGAUAAUGACAGUACCGGGAGAAUAAGCUCCGGCUAACUCCGUG